rnacentral:rRNA from 1 species
AAACGCUUGAAGUCAGUCGCGCCGUUCAGGACUCAGCCUUGCUUUGCUUGGUGUACUUCCUGUUUGGUGGGUCAACGUCAGUUUUGAUCGAGGGAGAAAGGUUUGGGGAACGUGGCAGCAUUCGUGCUGUGUUAUAGCCCCUUGCUGUAUGUCUCGGUCGGGACUGGGGACCGCAGCGCGCCUUAUGGCCGGGGUUCGCCCACGUACGCGCUUAGGAUGUUGGCAUAAUGGCUUUAAGCGA